rnacentral:rRNA from 1 species
CGCCAGACUCCUACGGGAGGCAGCAGUGGGGAAUAUUGCACAAUGGGGGAAACCCUGAUGCAGCAACGCCGCGUGAGUGAAGAAGUCAUUCGUGAUGUAAAGCUCUAUCAGCAGGGAAGAAAAUGACGGUACCUGACUAAGAAGCCCCGGCUAACUACGUGCCAGCAGCCGCGGUAAUACGUAGGGGGCAAGCGUUAUCCGGAUUUACUGGGUGUAAAGGGAGCGUAGACGGACUUGCAAGUCUGAUGUGAAAAUCCGGGGCCCAACCCCGGAACUGCAUUGGAAACUGUAUAUCUAGAGUGUCGGAGAGGCAAGUGGAAUUCCUAGUGUAGCGGUGAAAUGCGUAGAUAUUAGGAGGAACACCAGUGGCGAAGGCGGCCUGCUGGACGAUGACUGACGCUGAGGCUCGAAAGCGUGGGGAGCAAACAGGAUUAGAUACCCGUGUAA